UAUGGCCAUAUCAUGUUGAAACAUCAGUUCUUGUCUGAUCUCCAAAGUUAAGCAACAUUAGGUCUGGUCAGUACUCAGAUGAGUGACCGCUGGGGAACACCAGGUGCUACAAG